UGCGGUUUAAUCGGACUCAACGCCGGGAAAACUCACAGAUAAGACAGCUGAAUGAUAGUCGGGCUGAAGACUCACUUGACUAGCUGAGAGGAGGUGCAUGGCCGUCGUCAGUUCGUACUGUGAAGCAUCCUGUUAAGUCAGGCAACGAGCCGAGACCCACGCCAACAGUUGCCAGCUCGUCCUCCGGGAUGGUGGGGACACUGUUGGGACCGCCUCUGCUAAAGGAGGAGGAAGGAAUGGGCAACGGUAGGUCAGCAUGCCCCGAAUUAUCUGGGCUACACGCGGGCUACAAUGGGUGGGACAAUGGGUAUCGACACCGAAAGGUGAAGGCAAUCUCCUAAACCCAUCCGUAGUUCGGAUUGUGGGCUGCAACUCGCCCACAUGAAGCUGGAAUCUGUAGUAAUCGCGUUUCAACAGAACGCGGUGAAUACGUCCCUGGCUCCUU
rnacentral:rRNA from 1 species